GGUAAACUUUCCAGGAUAUUCUCUUAAUUCUGUGUUGUCCAACUAAGGAGUACAGGCGAUCUGCAAAGUUGUAAAAUCAAGGUGGUGAAGAUUCUUGGAGCUUCUAAUAUAUUCAAAAGUUUGAGCUAUGUGUCAGUCCCUGGGGAUCAAGUGAAGGAGGUACAGCUUCUUCAGUCACAGACUGUCUUGUCAUGUGGAUACAGGAAAGACCUAACAAGAAAAAGGCAUAGCCAAAAUGCAAAACCACCUACCUACACAGAGAACAACAGCAUAGUCUGAUCUGUUUCCACCAGCCAGCAAAAGUGAACCUG